UGUCGGUGAUGACAAUAUUUGCUACUCUUGACAGUCUGGAUGACGACACACAUUGACUACCAUCAAGAUCUCUGAGACA